rnacentral:rRNA from 1 species
UACGUAGGGGGCGAGCGUUGUCCGGAUUUAUUGGGCGUAAAGAGCUCGUAGGCGGCUUGGCAAGUCGGGUGUGAAACCUCCAGGCUCAACCUGGAGACGCCACUCGAUACUGCUAUGGCUAGAGUCCGGUAGGGGACCACGGAAUUCCUGGUGUAGCGGUGAAAUGCGCAGAUAUCAGGAGGAACACCUGCGGCGAAGGCGGGUUGCUGGGCCGACACUGACGCUGAGGCGCGAAAGCUAGGGGAGCGAACGGG